ACGUCAAGACAGCGGGCGGCCGCGUACUAGUUUCCUUAGUACUUGUGCGUACGUGUCAAUACCGUGUGCUGUAAACUGCUGAACGAACUGAGAUACUCAUUCAGUUUUGGUCGCCUCUCCAUUAUCUCGUGGUGACGUAAAGGUGACGGCCCGUGUGUUAGUUUUCCCGGUAAUUGUGCCUCCGUAACAUUACUGUGUGCAGUGGUCGUGAGAACUGCGAGGCGGCGGUGCAGACUGUGCCGUGGAGAGCCGCGGGGUGUUGGAAUCGCCUCUCAGUCACCUUGAAGGCGUCAUAUUCCCUCCCUGCUCUUCCCCGUGUCUUCCUGUCGAUGUUGCCUGGCGUCCCCGCUCGGCCCCUUCCACGACUCGCAGCGAGAGAGAGAGGUCGAGGUGCGGUGGUCUUGUGGCGGAAGCCUGAAGGAGGCGGUGAAGGAGUGAAGGUGUGAAGUGUGUGGCUUCCACUUCACCAUCCUAUGAACAGCCUGCAGGAAUCUCUAUCAACACCUGCUUCUGCAAUAUUGGCAUCUGGUUAUCAAAUAGUGCUGUCACGCUGGGCCUGACAUACUCCAUUGCAAUUGGGGAAUCAAGCUUCACCAGGAAGAGAGGCCGAGCAUCACGACCUUCAAGCCUUCAAGCCCUACAAGAGGUGUUAAGUAUUGUCAGGACAAAACAGAGGGCCUGGUACAAGAGUUUUCAUUGCAAUCAAGGAAGAGUCAAGUUGCAGUAAGAAGAGUGUGGCAAGAAUUUUAAGCAGGAGGAAGACUGUCAAGCAGUUGACGGCAGGAAGAACGCGUGAAAUUCCCUUAAGUCGUGGCAGGACCAACAGGCAACCUUCAACACCUGCAGAGGCACAAGAGUUGUGGGCAGUUUCACCAGGAAGAGGUUGCUCCUCACUCAAGUUGACACAGACACAAGAAUUUGCAAGUGUUGUUACUCCGAGACCCUGCUGCAAAUGUUCUCCAAUCCACUCCAGUCUGGGAAGGAAGAAUGUAGGAAGUCCCUCUCUUCUGUACUCAACAAGCACCACCACCACCACCACCACCACCUUCAUUCAGGCUUGGGACAAGUUUUGUACAUUCCAGCACUUCAGUAUUAAAGAAAACAAGUGCCAUGUUUAUUAUCCUGUUGUGUAUUUAUUCACUUAACAUUCACAGUAAAACAAUAAACAUUCAGUAUUC